CAUGGUGAAAUGUGCUUUUAGAAGCUGUGAAAACAUACAGAAGAAAUGGACAAAGGAAAGUUUCUACCGCUUGCCUGUGAUGAACGAGGAACUAUAUAAAAAGGGGUUACUCUGCUGGAUAUGACAUAUACACACCGGUGGAAAUAGUACUGCUUUGGAGUAUUUGCAGCGCGCAUUUUCAUCGGUAUCAUCUCCUGAAACCAAACGCUGUGCCUUCGACUGUCCAAACGUCUUCAAGAGCUUCUGAUAAACAGGCGACCUGGAGAUGCUGAAGGUACACCCAGAAGAGGCUCCACUUUGUUUUCAACUCCAUGAAGGCAAGGGCACCAGCAAGCGAGGAAUGCUGAUGGGACUUUGAGAUACAGCUUGGAGUUUUCUAAAGCAAAUGAAAAGAUGGGUUGCCCGGAGGAGUUACGAGCCAACAACGCAGAUAUUCUGACAGAAUUUGGUGGCGCAUGUCCUGGAAAGACUGCAGGAUUCAUUAGUGAAGUUUGCUGAUCCAGACUUUUAUUUCAAGCCUCCAACUACAAUUCCCCAAACCGUUGCAGGCAACAAAAGGCCUGAUAAAGAAAAAAUCAUUUUACAUGUCAGUAGAUUUAAAGAAUAAGUAGGCUGACAUUUUCCUUUUUUUUUUUUUUUUUAAAGAUAUUUUUGAAUGUACUAUAAAAAUAAAAAUAAAACAAACACAUAUUGUCUUAUUUGUGAAAUGUGAAGGUUUAAAAGAUCAAAAGUUUCUGGGUAUGUAGGAGUUGUAUUGACAAGGAUGCGCUAAAGGACCCAAAUGCUCGAUAGGUCAAUCCAAACAAAGAUUUAUUUUCCAGUUCAUAAAG